rnacentral:rRNA from 1 species
CCUACGGGAGGCAGCAGUGAGGAAUAUUGGUCAAUGGGCGCGAGCCUGAACCAGCCAAGUAGCGUGAAUGAUGGAUGCCCUACGGGUGGUAAACUUCUUUUGUAAGGGGGUAAAGUGAGGCACUUGUGCCUUUUUGUAUGUACUUUAUGCAUAAGGAUCGGCUAACUCCGUGCCAGCAGCCGCGGUAAUACGGAGGAUCCGAGCGUUAUCCGGAUUGAUUGGGUGUAAAGUGAGCGUAGAUGGGUUGUUAAGUCAGUUGGGAAAGUUUGCGGCUCAACCGGAGAAUUGCAAUUGAUACUGGCAGUCUUGAGUACAGUUGAGGGAGGCGGAAUGCGUGGUGUAGCGGUGAAAUGCGUAGAUAUCACGAAGAACUCCGAUGGCGAAGGCAGCUUACUAAAC